AAACCAGCACCUCAAGUGGUCAGGAUGAUUAUUGGGCCUAAAGCAUCCGUAGCCUGCUUUGUAAGUUUUCGGUUAAAUCCAUAUGCUCAACAUAUGGGCUGCCGGGAAUACUGCACAGCUAGGGAGUGGGAGGGGUAGACGGUACUCGGGAGGAAGGGGUAAAAUCCUUUGAUCUCUCGAUGACCACCUGUGGCGAAGGCGGUCUACCAGAACACGUCCGACGGUGAGGGAUGAAAGCUGGGGGAGCAAACCGGAUUAGAAACCCGAGUAGUCC
rnacentral:rRNA from 1 species